AUGUUCCUUAGGGAGAAGAUGCUGAAAUGUGGAUGUGCGCAUAUAUGGGGUACAAGCUGAGCACAGAGAGCUGUCAGAGUAACAUUUUAGCCCAAGCGCAGUGUAAAAAGCAACUCAGACACAGGGGGAAGAUAGAAUCUCCUAGAGCUCCAUGAGGCGUGAGAACCUUGCUUCUGGGGCAGCAAACAGUCACCAUUGUUGAGGUGGGGCCAUGACCAGAGGUUGGACCUUCAUGGAGCGGCUCGGUCAAUUGUUGAACCUUUGAGAGGAGCUUGAAAUGAAACUUCUGACAAGCACUGCCCUAAGGUAAAAAGCAACUCAGACACAGGGGGAAGAUAGAAUCUCCUAGAGCUCCAUGAGGCGUGAGAACCUUGCUUCUGGGGCAGCAUUGCUGAGGCGGGGCAAUGACCAGACGUUGGACCUUCAUGGAGAGACUCGGUCAAAGGUUGAACCUUUUGAGAGGAGCUUGAACUGAUAAUUCUGACUUGCUGAAAAGCACUGCCCUAAGCACUGACUUCUUAUCAUGGAAACAAAAGAAAACGAGAGAAACCACAGAGACCAACAAUGACUUGGAAGGAGCUACAGAGCCCAGUAUUUGGCAACUGAGUAAAAGUGCAUCAGGCAGCCGUAUCAAGCUCUGUGUAUGGCACUGAGGGGCGCUCGCGCCAUCUGAAUAAACAACUGCCUGCAGCAAAUGUGCCGAAAUCAGAAUG